AUUGAACGCUGGCGGCAGGCCUAACACAUGCAAGUCGAGCGAGCGGCGGACGGGUGAGUAAUGUCUGGGAAAAUGCCUGAUGGAGGGGGAUAACUACUGGAAACGGUAGCUAAUACCGCAUACCAUCAGAUGUGCCCAGAUGGGAUUAGCUAGUAGGUGGGGUAACGGCUCACCUAGGCGACGAUCCCUAGCUGGGCUGAGAGGAUGACCAGCCACAAUGGAACUGAGACACGGUCCAGAACCCGACGGGAGGCAGCAGUGGGGAAUAUUUGACAAGGGGCGCAAGCCGGAUGCAGCCAAGCCGGGGGUGUGAAGAAGGCCUUCGGGUUGUAAAGCACUUUCAGCGGGGAGGCGUUACCCGCAGAAGAAGCACCGGCUAACUCCGUGCCAGCCGCCGCGGUAAUAC
rnacentral:rRNA from 1 species